rnacentral:tRNA from 1 species
CAGAGAAUAGUUUAAAGAUUAAAAUAUUAGUUUUGGGAAUUAAAGAUAAAAGUAUUUUUCUCUGA